rnacentral:lncRNA from 1 species
ACUCUUAUCUAUGAUAUAAAUAUGAAUAACUUUGAAUCUUAUCAGUAGGUUGAUCAUUUUUAAGAUUCCUGCUCUGUAGAAUGAUACCUGUUAGACUGUGGGCAUUGGGGAUCGAACCCUGAACCAUCUUGCCUGGAGUCAAGUGUCAGGUUGACGUUAAUAAUAACUUUUUCUUCUUGUCUGUCCUUGGGUGACUUUAAAGGUACUUAGGACAGAAUGUACAGCUGUUAUAUUUGUAGUGCAGUAUUAUGAUAACAUUAUUUUGACAGGAAGACGGCCAUCUUGCUUUGUGAAGGUGUUUAAACGUCUCUUACCGGGUCUUGUUCUCUGUGGGCCUGCCUCACAGAUCUGGUUGUGAUGUCACACCACAUGAGGAAGUCCAUGUAUGGUCCUGCCUUCAGAGCGGAUUAACCAGCACAGGGAGCAGUUGGUAUGAUAUCCGCACGGUGAACAUGAUCUUAUCAGACACAUUUGAAGCCCUUUGAGACCUUCUGUGUUGAAUGAUGAUACGUUAUUAAAGUGAGUAUAUUAGAAACGUCUGGGAAUGAGAGGGUCUAUGAAUCUAUGUCUAGGAGAGACCCUGCCUCUUGUCUAAAGUUAACAGAGACAACAGACCCCUGUGAGCGGAAUACACAGCUCAUAUAAAAGCAGAGAGUAAACCAACGCCGAAUGGCAGUAGAAACAAUAUGGAGUUGUGUUUGUGUCCAGGUCUCCAGUCUACUAUGGAUGAGGAGAGAGGGGAGGGGGGUCCUACCUCUAAGACCACUCUGUCUAGGGAACAUGGCCGCCGGAGCAAAGCUAUGAGCCCAGAGCAGCAGCAGAGAGCAGACUCCCCUGGACCCUGCUGUGUCUCCAUGAAGAGUGACCACUCUAUGGAUUUUCCUGUUGACUUUAAAGAUGGAAAUCAGUCUAUUGAGAAGAGGUGAGGAUUUAUCAGAGAUCAUUAAGAUUCAGGGUAACACUUUACAAUAAGGUACGCAAAAACGUGGGUAGUUACUGAGGAACGAAUGAGUAACGAAUGAUGAACGACCAGGGCCCUAACUGGGGCCCUGACGGGGCCCUAUGUGACAGUUACUCAGUAACUACUGAGGAGUUACUGGUAAACAGACUAGUGGACUACUGUAUUUGUUACUGAGUAACGAAUGAUGAACAACCAGGGCCCUAACUGGGGCCCUAACUGGGGCCAUAAAGUGAGUUAUUCAGUAACUACUGAGGAGCUACUGGUAACCAGUCCAGGGGACUACUGUAUUUGUUACUGAGUAAUG